rnacentral:rRNA from 1 species
AUAGCGUAUAUUAAAGUUGUUGCAGUUAAAAAGCUCGUAGUUGAACUUCAGGCCUUGGCUGGCGGUCCGCCUCACGGCGUGUACUGUCGGCUGGGGCCUUCCCUCUUGGUGAACCCUCAUGCCCUUUAUUGGGUGUGGGGGGGAACCAGGACUUUUACUUUGAAAAAAUUAGAGUGUUCAAAGCAGGCCUAUGCCCGAAUACAUUAGCAUGGAAUAAUAAAAUAGGACGUGCGGUUCUAUUUUGUUGGUUUCUAGGAUCGCCGUAAUGAUUAAUAGGGAUAGUUGGGGGCAUUAGUAUUCAGUUGCUAGAGGUGAAAUUCUUGGAUUUACUGAAGACUAACUACUG